rnacentral:rRNA from 1 species
UACGUAGGGUGCGAGCGUUAAUCGGAAUUACUGGGCGUAAAGUGUGCGCAGGCGGCCGAGCAAGUCGAGUGUGAAAGCCCCGGGCUUAACUUGGGAAUUGCGCUCGAAACUACUUGGCUGGAGUGUGGCAGAGGAAGGUGGAAUUCCAGGUGUAGCGGUGAAAUGCGUAGAGAUCAGGAAGAACACCCGUGGCGAAGGCGGCUCUCUGGAACGCAACUGACGCUGAGACGCGAAAGCGUGGGGAGCAAACAGG